rnacentral:rRNA from 1 species
CAAUAGCGUAUAUUAAAGUUGUUGCAGUUAAAAAGCUCGUAGUUGGAUUUGUGGUGUACUUCGGCGGCCCGUCACUAUGUGAUGGAGCUUGCUGAAGUCGCCAUCCUUGGGUGGAUCCUGUGUGGCAUUAAGUUGUCGUGCAGGGGAUGCCCAUCGUUUACUGUGAAAAAAUUAGAGUGUUCAAAGCAGACUUAUGCCGUUGAAUAUAUUAGCAUGGAAUAAUAAGAUAGGACCUUGGUACUAUUUUGUUGGUUUGCGCACCAAGGUAAUGAUUAAUAGGGACAGUUGGGGGUAUUCGUAUUUCAUUGUCAGAGGUGAAAUUCUUGGAUUUUUGAAAGACGACCUACUGCGAAAGCAUUUACCAAGGAUGUUUUCAUUAA